GCCCUGUGGGGAAGGUGUCUUGCUUCCCCUUCACCUUCCACCAUCAGUGUAAGUUUCCUGAGGAUUCCCCAGCCGUGCUGAACUAGAUGUGGUCUCACUGUGUUGCCUAGGCUAGUCUCAAACUCCUGGCCUCAAACUAUCAUCCCACCUUAGCCUCCCAAAGUGCCGGGAUCACAAAUUUCUUCCACCGGUUGUGAUUUUGUCCCAGGAGAAUGUGUGCACACGGUGGCCACCAGAGGGAGCCCUUCAGCGACAGAGGAUGAGAGCUGCAGGAUGGUCAGAGGAAACCCAAUCCACAUUGGAACAAGGCUUCUUAAGACAUGGAUGUAAUUUGGUGGUGCGGAAAAAUCAGAGUGUUCAAAACAGUGGAGUAUGAUGAGUGACUGCCCAACAGAUGUGUAAUGGGACUCUGCCACAUGAUAGACAGCAGAGGAGACAGGGAAGCAUGGGAUGUCUAGGAACUUCCAGUAUCACAACCCACAAGUGGCAUGGGAGAAAUUCAGAAGUGCCUGCUUGCCAAAGAGAUACAUGUAGAUUAGUUGACAAAAAGGCUUGAGUCACAGGCCCAGGAUGUCACGUGAUCAGG
rnacentral:lncRNA from 10 species